rnacentral:rRNA from 2 species
CGAGUGAACCGGGAAGAGCUCAAAUUUGAAAUCUGGCGUGCUCAGUGCGUCCGAGUUGUAAUCUAUAGAGACGUUUUCCGUGCCGGACCGUGUCCAAGUCCCUUGGAACAGGGUAUCAAAGAGGGUGACAAUCCCGUACUUGACACGACGACCGGUGCUCUGUGAUACGUCUUCUACGAGUCGAGUUGUUUGGGAAUGCAGCUCAAAAUGGGUGGUGAGUUCCAUCUAAAGCUAAAUAUUGGCGAGAGACCGAUAGCGAACAAGUACCGUGAGGGAAAGAUGAAAAGCACUUUGGAAAGAGAGUUAAACAGUACGUGAAAUUGUUGAAAGGGAAACGAUUGAAGUCAGUCGUGACUGAGAGGCUCAGCCGGUUCUGCCGGUCUAUUCCCCUCAGUCGGGUCAACAUCAGUUUUGUCCGGUGGAUAAGGGCAGCAGGAAGGUGGCACCCUCGGGUGUGUUAUAGCCUGUUGUCGCAUACAUCGGAUGAGACUGAGGAAUGCAGCUCGCCUUUAUGGCCGGGGUUCGCCCACGUCCGAGCUUAGG